UACGGGGGGGGCAAGCGUUGUUCGGAAUUACUGGGCGUAAAGGGCUCGUAGGCGGCCAACUAAGUCAGACGUGAAAUCCCUCGGCUUAACCGGGGAACUGCGUCUGAUACUGGAUGGCUUGAGUUCGGGAGAGGGAUGCGGAAUUCCAGGUGUAGCGGUGAAAUGCGUAGAUAUCGAGAGGAACACCUGCGGCGAAGGCGGGUUGCUGGGCCGACACUGACGCUGAUGCGCGAAAGCCAGGGGAGCGAACGGG
rnacentral:rRNA from 1 species